rnacentral:rRNA from 1 species
AGCGAACGCUGGCGGCAGGCUUAACACAUGCAAGUCGAGCGGGCAUAGCAAUAUGUCAGCGGCAGACGGGUGAGUAACGCGUGGGAAUGUACCUUUUGGUUCGGAACAACACAGGGAAACUUGUGCUAAUACCGGAUAAGCCCUUACGGGGAAAGAUUUAUCGCCGAAAGAUCGGCCCGCGUCUGAUUAGCUAGUUGGUGAGGUAAUGGCUCACCAAGGCGACGAUCAGUAGCUGGUCUGAGAGGAUGAUCAGCCACAUUGGGACUGAGACACGGCCCAAACUCCUACGGGAGGCAGCAGUGGGGAAUAUUGGACAAUGGGCGCAAGCCUGAUCCAGCCAUGCCGCGUGAGUGAUGAAGGCCCUAGGGUUGUAAAGCUCUUUUGUGCGGGAAGAUAAUGACGGUACCGCAAGAAUAAGCCCCGGCUAACUUCGUG